rnacentral:lncRNA from 1 species
AGAAGUACUAUAGGCAAGAAACUACAACCAAGAUAACAGAAAAGAGAAGGGAGACAUGUUAACGAAAGCGGUUUGUUUUUUAUAAAUCUUUUCGGAGUUUAAAAUCAUUUGUAUUCAAAAUACGCGUAAAUAGUUAUCAAUGGUACCAGGAUUAUGAUUUAAUACGCCAGACGCGCGUUUCGUCUACAUAAGACUCGUAACGGGUUUAACUCUUUUGAACAGUUUCUUAAUUUAUUAACGGAAAACCUAUGAAUAGUUUGAGACAAAUCAAGACAGUACCAAAAAACAGAAUACAGUUGAUGGUCUCACUACGUCCAACGUUUCACUAGCACUUUUUACGACUGAGUGCUUAUUAAGGAUUACAACACUUACUUAACUGCGCAUGCCAAAAGCGCUUUCCUUGAUUUAAUCAUAUAUUUCAGAAACAGUCAAACCCAAAGCCAAAGCCAAUAAUGUUGAAGACAUAAACACGUUCAAACCCAUUUGACCAAAAUAGCAAAAAUUCAUCUUGAGUCAAUUGUGCACGAGAGAAAUACAUUUUGAAAAUUAUAUUAUUUCAAAUGAGGACGUGAUAGAGUUAUUGAAGUGAAUCACUAAAAUAAUUCACAUUUAAGCAACAAUUAAUUUACCGAUGUUCAAAAUUCAUAAGUUGACUUUAGAUAUAUAACUAGGUAAUAAUAAAUAAACAAUCGAAAAAAAAUAAAGGAGAGAGACAUGAUGCGUUGACUUGUUCAGCGUCUCUUGUAAUGCGUGCAUCCUGCUUCAUAUAUCUUUAACAUAUAAAGAUGUGUAUAAUUAAUGUUCUCUUGUUAUGCGUGCAUCCUGCUUCAUAUAUCUUUAACAUAUAAAGAUGUGUAUAAUUAAUGUUAAGCGUCUCUUGUAAUGCGUGCAUCCUGCUUCAUAUAUCUUUAACAUAUAAAGAUGUGUAUAAUUAAUGUUCUCUUGUUAUACGUGCAUCCUGCUUCAUAUAUCUUUAACAUAGAAAGAUGUGUAUAAUUAAUGUUCUCUUGUUAUUCGUGCAUCCUGCUUCAUAUAUCUUUAACAUAGACAGAUGUGUAUAAUUAAUGUUCUCUUGUAAUGCGCGCAUCCUGCUUCAUAUAUCUUUAACAUAUAAAGAUGUGUAUAAUUAAUGUUAAGCGUCUAUUGUAAUGCGUGCAUCCUGCUUCAUACAUCUUUAAUAUAUAAAGAUGUGUAUAAUUAAUGUUCUUCUUCCUUUAGAUAUUACGUUUUAAAUAUUUGUUAGCUAUUCGAAUCUGUUCAGGUACAAGCGGAGACUGCGGAGGAACUUAUAGAAGUGUCCUUGAGAGAUGUUUCCAUAUUGAUUUUCAAUAUGCAAUCUACAUUCUGGACGAAAGUACAAAACUACUUUACAAAGCUAGAGGCG